rnacentral:rRNA from 1 species
UACGUAGGGACCAAGCGUUGUUCGGAUUUACUGGGCGUAAAGGGCGCGUAGGCGGGAUGGCAAGUCGGUCGUGAAAUCCCUCGGCUCAACCGAGGAACGUCGAUCGAUACUGCUGUUCUUGAGGAUUGCAGAGGGAGACUGGAAUUCCCGGUGUAGCGGUGAAAUGUGUAGAGAUCGGGAGGAACACCGGUGGCGAAGGCGGGUCUCUGGGCCGAUACUGACGGCUGAGGAGCGAAAGCGUGGGGAGCGAACAGG